UUUAAAAUUUCGCUCUUUGCGCCUGCGCAAAUUUGAAAUUUCGGUCUUGGCGCUUGCGCAAUAGCGUGAGAUUUUCUCUCAUCACAACAGUAAUGACUGUCAUACGAAAGACAACCGGUACGAAGGGUUAAUUCUGAAUUACAAAGCAAAGGUAAUAUUUUAAUGCAAGUCUGUGAAUACAUAGCAGAAUCUUAAUUUUGAGAGAUACAAGGAAAUUAUGUUAGAUAUUUGGAAACAAAUACGAAGUUGUUGGAGGGAAGACAAAACUCUCACACCCACAGACAAGUUAUGACGCAAUUGAGGAAAGAAUAUUACCAAUUAUAAUCACAAUUAUCUAGUAAUACCCAUUAUAUAUUAGGCAAUUAAUUAUUUAUUAGAUUUUAUGAUAUUCGGUAUAUUAUUUUGUUUUCAAUGCUUACCAACGUGUUCUAUAUAUUUUUACAGUAAAUCGAAAGGACGUAAUUAAAUAAUGUAACUUAGCACAAUAAAACAUAACUGUAGUUAAUUAUAAAA
rnacentral:lncRNA from 1 species